GUGAGUUAUAUGCAGUGCAAUCCACAUUUUUAAAUUGUAAGUAUUAAGUGUAACAAUAAGAACAUCAAGAAGUAAGAUUUUCAUAAACCAACUUCAGGGCUUUGCUUCACGAAGCCCCAGGCUCAAAACUAUCCUGAGUUAAAUACAACUCACGUGGCAGUUAUUAGACUGAACCCAGAGGCUGGUGGGAGGUUCUAGGGAAACUUUCCCUUUCAACUGGCCCCAUCCCUUUGAGGGCCUCCCAAAUCUGACUAUAAAGCCCUAGAUGGCCGCCAUUUCGGGGCUGGUGCCAUCUUGGCCAUAGCCAGUCUGUACACAGACGUUAAAAUAAACUUUCUUUUCCUUCAUCUUCGCCUCAUGCAUUCCUCCCUUGGUGUUUCUAAUAGCAGCCAAUGUUAAAGUAACUUGGAGAGUUCUGACAUCAUGUUUGAAAUGGUAAUAGCUUUUGGAUCCCCUCUGGUAUCGUCACAACCAAUAGACAUCUAUGUCUGGAGGUUGAAAACCACUUGAUUGAAUGAUCUGUUAGCUCAUAUCCAGUUCUAAUCUUCUCUGACCACCUGAUAACUUUAGUGCCCCAUGCCAUAAAAUAUAGGCAGAGAAAGAUGACGGAAAAGGAAAGAGUCCACUGGGAGUCUGACACUGCAGGCAAUUAAUGUGGAUCUGGGGGACCUCUAUGAGGAUGUGAGAUGGGGAAGAGGGGAUCCCCUCAUUCCAGGGCACCUGCACAAAGUUCCUGCAGAGGGAAAUGAAGAUGCUUUGCCUUGGAGCAAAUUUCCUUGUGACUUAGGCUUCUUGCGCCAUGUCUGGGAGAAUUUUUAGGUUGUACUCACAACAUUGGGAGAGGAAAAGGGAGCAGGAAUGGAACGGCUGUGCAACCAUUCAUUCUCUUCUCACCUCUUCCACCGUACGAUCUCACUCUAUGGGGAGGAAUGGGCAGUCAGAAGCCUUGUCCAGGUCUAUAACAGUGGGUCUCAGAUCUGAGGUUUGCAGAAUCAGAGAGUGAAAUAAAGGACAGGCUUACUGCUGCCUGCUGCCAUGGCAGUGCUAGCAUUCUUGUUUCUAAGGCAAUAAGCUCACAAUGUGCUUGGGGGCAGCACCACCCACAGUGGUGUUGUGGAGCACAUGUGUUGGGGGGUGGAUGGCUGUGACGAUGACGGGAGGUGGACAUACUAGCAUUGUGUGCCCUGCUGUGAGCUAAAGACACUGCCAUAAUGAAGACUCAUCUCACCCAAAAUGUCAAAAGCAUGUCCAUUGAGAAAUCCUGAAUAUGAGAAUGGGAUUUAAAUUCUUACAUAUACAGAAUUAUUUGGAAGUUGUAAGAGGAUUCAAGUCACCCUAGACAACUUCCUAUAGUGCUAGAUCGUCAGACAGAAUGUCUAGAUGGAGGAGGUUCAUUCUAACAGCUCCCAGAUAAAAGGAAAGAGCAGAGGCCGCUGCAGAAGGCACUGGGCAACCCACCCCAAGGUACUGAUGCCUUUCUUGGAAAACACCCGCGUCUGCGUCCUCCCCUCGCUGUGCAAAGACCAGGGAGAGCGAGCGCCAGGACAGGCGUGUCCUCCCAGGAUGCGGGAGAGACACCAGAGUGUGACCUCGUCUGGACAUAAGGUCAUUGCUGUAAUCAGUUGACAUGAAGUCAUCAGGGUGGAUCUCUAAUCCAAGACGACUGCAGUUGUUAUAAAAAGGAGGAAUGUGGACAGACAUGUGCACAGGGAGAACACAUGAACAUGAAGGGUGUACGGUGAUGCUCCUAUAGCCAAGGAAGCAAGAGAUCGCCACCAAACAUCAGAAGUUAGAGGAGAGGCGUAGGUUCCCCCUUGCAGCCCUUAGAAGGAACCGACCAUCCUGGUAUCUUCAUCUCAGACUUUUCGUCUCUAGGACUGGGAGACAAUAAACGCCUGUCAUUUAAGCCACUCAGUUUGUGUUGCUUUCUUUCCAGAAGCCCUAGCAAACCAGUAUGCUCAGGGACACUUCGGUGAAAUAUCAGAAAGGAAUGGCAGCCAGCAUCUGGCAUGAUCAUGGUGCACUUUGCAAACAGGAAAGGGAUGGACCUAAUCUAACCUUUUUAAAAAUUAGAUCAUGGGUAUUAUUUUUCCCCUAUACUUUUUAAUUUUCCAUCUGGGAAAAAAACACAACCUAUCUGAAUUUAGGUGCAUAUAGCACUAAAUUGAAAAGACACAAAGGGAUUUAGACUGAAACACAAGUCCCCUGUUUGUCUUCAGUCCCAGCCACCCAAUUCCCCUCCCCAGAGCCAACCUUUUUUAAUGUAUAUAAAUAUGUAUAUUUCAUUUUUUUCAUAUAAAUAGUCAUAGACUAUAAACAUCACUUCACUAUAGAUGUUGGAGAUAAUUCCCUGUUAGAAUACACGAACGUGCCUCAUUCUUUUUGAUGACUGCAUAGUAUUUCUUUGACGGAUAUAUUUUCUGCCCAUUCUUAAUAAAUUCUCAGCUGAAUCUCUUGAUCGAGACAAACAGAAAUCAUCUCCAAAGUAACCCCUUCACAGCCUGCAUGGGGCUGAGCCUUCCCACUGCUCUCUCCCCUGCUAAAUAGAUGGAUACUCUUUUCUAGCUGAGGUCGUUAG